rnacentral:rRNA from 1 species
GACGAACGCUGGCGGCGUGCUUAACACAUGCAAGUCGAACGGAAAGGCCCUGCUUAUGUGGGGUGCUCGAGUGGCGAACGGGUGAGUAACACGUGAGUAACCUGCCCCUGACUUUGGGAUAACUUCAGGAAACUGGGGCUAAUACCGGAUAGGAGCUCCUGCUGCAUGGUGGGGGUUGGAAAGUUUCGGCGGUUGGGGAUGGACUCGCGGCUUAUCAGCUUGUUGGUGGGGUAGUGGCUUACCAAGGCUUUGCCGGGUAGCCGGCCUGAGAGGGUGACCGGCCACAUUAGGACUGAGAUGCGGCCCAGACUCCUACGGAAGGCAGCGGUGGGGAAUAUUACACAAUGGGCGGAAGCCUGAUGCGGCAACGCCGCGUGCGGGAUGACGGCAUUCGGGUUGUAUACCGAUGUCGCCUGUGACGAAACGUGAGUGACGGUAAUGGGUGAAGAAGCACCGGCUAACUACGUG